rnacentral:rRNA from 1 species
GCAAGUCGAGCGCGGGAAGCAAGCUGAUCCUCUUCGGAGGUGACGCUUGUGGAACGAGCGGCGGACGGGUGAGUAACACGUGGGCAACCUGCCUGUAAGACUGGGAUAACCCCGGGAAACCGGGGCUAAUACCGGAUAAUACUUUUCAUCACCUGAUGGGAAGUUGAAAGGUGGCUUUUAGCUACCACUUACAGAUGGGCCCGCGGCGCAUUAGCUAGUUGGUGAGGUAACGGCUCACCAAGGCAACGAUGCGUAGCCGACCUGAGAGGGUGAUCGGCCACACUGGGACUGAGACACGGCCCAGACUCCUACGGGAGGCAGCAGUAGGGAAUCUUCCGCAAUGGACGAAAGUCUGACGGAGCAACGCCGCGUGAGUGAUGAAGGUUUUCGGAUCGUAAAGCUCUGUUGUUAGGGAAGAACAAGUGCCGUUCGAAUAGGGCGGCACCUUGACGGUACCUAACCAGAAAGCCCCGGCUAACUACGUGCCAGCAGCCGCGGUAAUACGUAGGGGGCAAGCGUUGUCCGGAAUUAUUGGGCGUAAAGCGCGCGCAGGCGGUCCUUUAAGUCUGAUGUGAAAGCCCACGGCUCAACCGUGGAGGGUCAUUGGAAACUGGAGGACUUGAGUACAGAAGAGGAGAGUGGAAUUCCACGUGUAGCGGUGAAAUGCGUAGAGAUGUGGAGGAACACCAGUGGCGAAGGCGACUCUCUGGUCUGUAACUGACGCUGAGGCGCGAAAGCGUGGGGAGCGAACAGGAUUAGAUACCCUGGUAGUCCACGCCGUAAACGAUGAGUGCUAGGUGUUAGGGGGUUUCCGCCCCUUAGUGCUGAAGUUAACGCAUUAAGCACUCCGCCUGGGGAGUACGGCCGCAAGGCUGAAACUCAAAAGAAUUGACGGGGGGCCCGCACAAGCGGUGGAGCAUGUGGUCUAAUUCGACGCAACGCGAAGAACCUUACCAGGUCUUGACAUCCUCUGCAAUCGGUAGAGAUACCGAGUUCCCUUCGGGGACAGAGUGACAGGUGGUGCAUGGUUGUCGUCAGCUCGUGUCGUGAGAUGUUGGGUUAAGUCCCGCAACGAGCGCAACCCUUGAUCUUAGUUGCCAGCAUUUAGUUGGGCACUCUAAGGUGACUGCCGGUGACAAACCGGAGGAAGGUGGGGAUGACGUCAAAUCAUCAUGCCCCUUAUGACCUGGGCUACACACGUGCUACAAUGGAUGGAACAAAGGGAAGCAAACCCGCGAGGUCAAGCAAAUCCCAUAAAACCAUUCUCAGUUCGGAUUGCAGGCUGCAACUCGCCUGCAUGAAGCCGGAAUCGCUAGUAAUCGCGGAUCAGCAUGCCGCGGUGAAUACGUUCCCGGGC